rnacentral:rRNA from 1 species
UAUUAAAGUUGUUGCAGUUAAAAAGCUCGUAGUUGGAUUUCUGGGGCAAGCUCCUGGUCCGCCGCCUUUGUGCGGUGCUGACUGAGUGCAGCGUUGUCUCAUCCUUGUGGGAAUUCCGGUUUGGGCUUCGUUGUCCGGCCGGCGGAACCGCAUCUUUUACUGUGAAAAAAUUAGAGUGUUCAAAGCAGGCUUACGCUGUGAAUACAUUAGCAUGGAAUAAUAAGAUAGGACUUUGAUUCUGUUUUGUUGGUUGGAGACCAAGGUAAUGAUUAAUAGGGAUAGUUGGGGGUAUUCAUAUUUAAUUGUCAGAGGUGAAAUUCUUGGAUUUAUGAAAGAUGAACUUAUGCGAAAGCAUUUACCAAGGAUGUUUUCAUUAAUCAAGAACGAAAGUUAGGGGAUCGAAGAGGAUUAGAUACCCUCGUAGUCUUAACCAUAAACUAUGCCGACUCGGGAUUGGAGGGCGAUAUGUUAAUGAGCCAUUCAGCACCGUAUGAGAAAUCAAAGUCUUUGGGUUCCGGGGGGAGUAUGGUCGCAAGGCUGAAACUUAAA